GAGAGGAGAGGGGCGGGCGAGCGACUCCUGCGCAAGCGCAGAGUGAAGGGCCAGGAACAGUGGAGGGGGUGAGGAAGACAAUGGGGGAGGACCCCGAGGCGGCCUCUGUGAGCCGACAGGAACACGUGGUCAGAGAGACUCGAGGUUCGUGAAAGGAUGGGGAGGACCCUGAAAAGCACUGUGGAAUACAGAUUUCUAGUAACUUCAAAAUCACAUCAUUUGGACUGGGUAAGAAUUGCUGAAACUUUAAUGAAAAGGCUGACUGGCUUAUAAAACUGCUAACCCAAAUAGAAUAAAAAUUAAUUGAAUACCGAGGAAAUACUUCACCAGGUUUGCAUGCUUAAUCAGCCUAUACUGAAAUUGUUUAGAUAUACAAUUUGAAUGAACUCCAUGGUCUAAGUCAAAUUACCUGUGGUAACCCAUCAGUUAUCCAUGCUAUGUGCCCAAUUUGGAGAAACAACUGGCACCCAAGAGGACAUAAGUCCAAUGUUAAGCAUGGACUCAUGGAGAACCAAGGUGGCCGCCUUGUCCUUCGUGACAAGCUUUUGUUAUUAAAAAAGCUUUUGUUAUUAAAAGUUAUGCUUUCCAUGACUCAUCCUGGAACAGAUAAAAUGACCCAAAUUAAAUAUGUUGGUGUGGUGACUUACAAAUUGUUAAAAUAGUUUAUAGACAAUGUUUAGUUUGUCAAACCCAUACUUCUGGGAAGACAAAGUUUCAUGUACAUUUGGCUACCUGAUGAGCCAUUUAAACAUUUAUA
rnacentral:lncRNA from 1 species